GUGGAGAUUACAAUGCAAAACUUGGAAUAACAAUCCUUGGCGAAGCAGUGUCUGUUGAAGAUGAAGUAGUGGUAAUAAACAGCAUUGUCCUACCAAAUAAGACUCUCAAUGUCAGUGUUCAAGAGGAAAUAAUUCUAUGAUUGUCUCUCUAGUGUAUCAUAACUGGUUUUCUAGUAGAAAACUGAUGUUUGAAUAAUUUAUUAUUUCUGUAAAUUAAGGUUUAGCAAAUAAAAUUCCUAGAGAUAUUUUCUCUUUGGUA